AAAAUGACGGGAAAUAAGGUAGAAAUGCCGGAAUUAGGUAUCAUGGCGGUGGCGUCACUUGGGCAGUUGUAAAGAAACGGCGCCAGUUUGUGUAUUUGUGAUUUUUAAGGGAAGUAAAGGCGUGGGGGGCGUGUGCGUGUGUGCGUGCGUGCGUGUGCGUGUGCGUGGGCGUGUGGGGGCGCGGGGGUGCGUGUGGGGGAGUCCUAGGGGGCGGUUGCCGGUAAGUGUGAAUUUUAUGAUAAUUUUUUGAUAUUUUUUUGAAAUUAUUUCCAGAUUUGUGUUUGUUUUGUGUGUUUGUUGUUGUUGUUGUUGUUAUUGUUGUUGUUGUUGUGUUUUGUUAAGAUUAGGUUAAGGUUAAGUUAGGUUAAGUUAGGUUAGGUUUACGUAAUCUUAGGCUAAGUUAAGUUAGGUUAAAUUGAUGUUAGGUUAGGUUAGGUUAGAUUCACGUAAGGUUUGUUUAGGUUAGGUUAGGUUAAGUUAAAUUGAAUUAGUGUUAAGUCAGGUUAGGUUAGGUUAAAUUGAAUUAGUGUUAGGUUAGGUUAGGUUAGGUUAGGUUGUUAAAUUGAAUUAGUGUUAGGUUAGGUUAGGUUAAAUUGAAUUAGUGUUAGGUUAAGUUAGGUUAGGUUAGGUUAGGUUUGGGUCACGUGAGGUUAAGUUUGGGUUACUUUAGGUUAAGGGAAGGCUUGGUUAGGUCAGGUCAGGUAGCUGUUAGGUGAGGUUAGGUUAGGUUAAGUUAGGUUAGGUUAGGUGAGGUUAGGUUAGGUUAAGUUAGGUUAGGUUAGGUUAAGUUAGGUUAGGUUAGGUUAAGUUUGGGUUACUUUAGGUUAAGGGAAGGCUUGGUUAGGUCAGGUCAGGUAGCUGUUAGGUCAGGUCAGCUUAAAUAGGAUUUGGUUUAAACUGAAAGGAAAAAAAAUAAAUAUCAUAUCUUUAAUUCUUGGCUAAUGUGUUUAUAAUGUAGUGUACAUGUUGAAUUACUUGAUAUAGUGUGUGUUUGUAGUGUAGUUCAUAUAUUUAAUUCUUGGCUAAUGUGUGUGUGUGUGUGUGUGUGUGUGUAUGUGUAUGUGUGUGUGUGUGUGUGUGUGUGUGUGUGUGUAGUAUACAUUUAAUACCUCCUAGUGUUUGUAGUUUAGUUUACUCACACAUGGUUCUGGAUGCUGUGGUGACCUUGAGAGUCUGGCAGGUCACACGGCUCUGGACACUGAAAAAUGACCUAAACCAACUUUAACGACCUAACGACCCUCUCUUCCUUACAGCCUGAACGAAAAAUAACCCUAAAAUACUCUUAAAAAUGUAAAAUGACCUAAACCAACCUUAACGACCUAACGACCCUCUCUUCCUUACAGCCUGAACGAAAAAUAACCCUAAAAUACUCUUAAAAAUGUAAAAUGACCUAAACCAACCUUAACGACCUAACGACCCUCUCUUCCUUACAGCCUGAACGAAAAAUAACCCUAAAAUACUCUUAAAAAUGUAAAAUGACCUAAACCAACCUUAACGACCUAACGACCCUCUCUUCCUUACAGCCUGAACGAAAAAUAACCCUAAAAUACUCUUAAAAAUGUAAAAUGACCUAAACCAACUUUAACGACCUAACGACCCUCUCUUCCUUACAGCCUGAACGAAAAAUAACCCUAAAAUAAUUAAAAACGACAUGAAACGACUUAAAAAACGAUCUUUAACUACCAUAACGACUUAAAUUCGCCUUAACGAUCUAACGACCCUCUCC